rnacentral:rRNA from 1 species
GACGAACGCUGGCGGCGUGCCUAAUACAUGCAAGUAGAACGCUGAAGAGAGGAGCUUGCUCUUCUUGGAUGAGUUGCGAACGGGUGAGUAACGCGUAGGUAACCUGCCUGGUAGCGGGGGAUAACUAUUGGAAACGAUAGCUAAUACCGCAUAAAAUUGAUUAUUGCAUGAUAAUUAAUUGAAAGAUGCAACUGCAUCACUACCAGAUGGACCUGCGUUGUAUUAGCUAGUUGGUGAGGUAACGGCUCACCAAGGCGACGAUACAUUGCCGACCUGAGAGGGUGAUCGGCCACACUGGGACUGAGACACGGCCCAGACUCCUACGGGAGGCAGCAGUAGGGAAUCUUCGGCAAUGGGGGGAACCCUGACCGAGCAACGCCGCGUGAGUGAAGAAGGUUUUCGGAUCGUAAAGCUCUGUUGUAAGAGAAGAACGGGUGUGAGAGUGGAAAGUUCACACUGUGACGGUAUCUUACCAGAAAGGGACGGCUAACUACGUGCCAGCAGCCGCGGUAAUACGUAGGUCCCGAGCGUUGUCCGGAUUUAUUGGGCGUAAAGCGAGCGCAGGCGGUUAGAUAAGUCUGAAGUUAAAGGCUGUGGCUUAACCAUAGUAUGCUUUGGAAACUGUUUAACUUGAGUGCAGAAGGGGAGAGUGGAAUUCCAUGUGUAGCGGUGAAAUGCGUAGAUAUAUGGAGGAACACCGGUGGCGAAAGCGGCUCUCUGGUCUGUAACUGACGCUGAGGCUCGAAAGCGUGGGGAGCAAACAGG